rnacentral:rRNA from 1 species
GACGAACCGUGCAAGCGUUGUUCGGAAUCACUGAGCUUAAAGGGCGCGUAGGCGGCAAAGCAAGUCGGGGGUGAAAUCUUUCGGCUCAACCGGAAAAGUGCCUUCGAUACUGCUUUGCUCGAGGAAGAUAGGGGCCACGGGAACGACCAGUGGAGCGGUGAAAUGCGUUGAGAUUGGUAGGAACGCCGGUGGCGAAAGCGCGUGGCUGGAUCUUCCCUGACGCUGAGGCGCGAAAGCGUGGGGAGCGAACAGG